rnacentral:rRNA from 1 species
UGUUGGGAGGUAAUGGCUCACCAAGGCGACGACGGGUAGCCGGCCUGAGAGGGUGACCGGCCACACUGGGACUGAGACACGGCCCAGACUCCUACGGGAGGCAGCAGUGGGGAAUAUUGCACAAUGGGCGAAAGCCGAUGCAGCGACGCCGCGUGAGGGAUGACGGCCUUCGGGUUGUAAACCUCUUUCAGUAGGGAAGAAGCGAAAGUGACGGUACCUGCAGAAGAAGCACCGGCUAACUACGUGCCAGCAGCCGCGGUAAUACGUAGGGUGCGAGCGUAUCCGGAAUUAUUGGGCGUAAAGAGCUCGUAGGCGGUUUGUCGCGUCUGUCGUGAAAGUCCGGGGCUUAACCCCGGAUCUGCGGUGGGACGGGCAGACUAGAGUGCAGUAGGGGAGACUGGAAUUCCUGGUGUAGCGGUGGAAUGCGCAGAUAUCAGGAGGAACACCAUGGCGAAGGCAGGUCUCUGGGCUGUAACUGACGCUGAGGAGCGAAAGCAUGGGGGAGCGAACAGGAUUAGAUACCCCUGGUAGUCCAUGCCCGUAAACGUUGGGCACUAAGGUGUGGGGGACCAUUUCACCGGUUUCCCCCGCCGCAGCUUAACGCAUUUAAUUGCCCCCGCCUGGGGGAGUACCGGCCGCCAAGGCUAAAAACUUCAAAAGGAAUUUGACGGGGGGCCCC